rnacentral:rRNA from 1 species
GCCAACAUCUAUAUCAUCCUGCAACUCACAACUGGCAACCCUUGAAACUAAGCAGGUGUGAGCCUAGCCAGGACUUGGAUGGGAGACCUCCUGGGAAAGUUAAGGAUGUUGCUGGUA